rnacentral:rRNA from 1 species
CCUACGGGGGGCAGCAGUAGGGAAUUUUCGGCAAUGGGGGAAACCCUGACCGAGCAACGCCGCGUGAGGGAGGAAGUACUUCGGUAUGUAAACCUCUGUUAUAAAGGAAGAAUAGCAUAUGUAGGGAAUGACAUAUGAAUGACGGUACUUUAUGAGGAAGCCACGGCUAACUACGUGCCAGCAGCCGCGGUAAUACGUAGGUGGCGAGCGUUAUCCGGAAUCAUUGGGCGUAAAGAGGGAGCAGGCGGCAGUCAGGGUCUGCGGUGAAAGCCCGAAGCUAAACUUCGGUAAGCCGUGGAAACCGGACAGCUAGAGAGCAUCAGAGGAUCGUGGAAUUCCAUGUGUAGCGGUGAAAUGCGUAGAUAUAUGGAGGAACACCAGUGGCGAAGGCGACGGUCUGGGGUGCAGCUGACGCUCAGUCCCGAAAGCGUGGGGAG